rnacentral:tRNA from 2 species
UGGCAGAUAGUUCAGACGGUAGAACACCAUGUAACAUGGAAGUCACGGGUUCAAGUCCCGUUCUGCCAG